rnacentral:rRNA from 1 species
UACGUAGGGGGCAAGCGUUGUCCGGAAUCAUUGGGCGUAAAGCGCGUGUAGGCGGCCCGAUAAGUCCGCUGUGAAAGUCCAGGGCUCAACCCUGGGAUGCCGGUGGAUACUGUCGGGCUCGAGUCCGGAAGAGGCGAGUGGAAUUCCUGGUGUAGCGGUGAAAUGCGCAGAUAUCAGGAGGAACACCUGCGGCGAAGGCGGGUUGCUGGGCCGACACUGACGCUGAGGCGCGAAAGCCAGGGGAGCGAACGGG